rnacentral:rRNA from 1 species
UGGGGAAUAUUGCACAAUGGACGGAAGUUUGAUGCAGCGACGCCGCGUGGAGGGUGUAGGCCUUCGGGUUGUGAACUCCUUUUUCUCGCGAAAAAGGCACAGUUUUGGCUGUGUUGACGGUACCGGAAAAGCAAGCCACGGCUAACUACGUGCCAGCAGCCGCGGUAAUACGUAGGUGGCAAGCGUUGUCCGGAAUUAUUGGGCGUAAAGCGCGCGCAGGCGGCUUACUAAGUCCAUCUUAAAAGUGCGGGGCUUAACCCCGUGAUGGGAUGGAAACUGGAAAGCUGGAGUAUCGGAGAGGAAAGUGGAAUUCCUAGUGUAGCGGUGAAAUGCGUAGAGAUUAGGAAGAACACCGGUGGCGAAGGCGACUUUCUGGACGAAAACUGACGCUGAGGCGCGAAAGCGUGGGGAGCAAACAGG